CUCUUAGAUGUUCUGGGCCGCACGCGUGCUACACUGAGUGGAUCAGCGGGUCAGGUUGCGCGAAAGUGUUUCCUAAUCUUGAAAUCCGCUCGUGAUGGGGAUUGACGGUUGCAAUUUUCCGUCAUGAACGAGGAAUACCUUGUAAGCGCGGGUCAUCAUCCCGCGCUGAAUACGUCCCUGCCCUUUGUACACACCGCCCGUCGCUCCUACCGAUUGAGUGGUCCGGUGAGGCUUUGGGAUCUGAGCGGAAAGAGCGUUUCGCUGUUUCUGCUCGGAAAACUCAGUCGAACCUUAUCAUUUAGAGGAAGGAGAAGUCGUAACA
rnacentral:rRNA from 1 species